rnacentral:rRNA from 1 species
UCCUACGGGGCGCAGCAGUGGGGAAUAUUGGGCAAUGGGCGCAAGCCUGACCCAGCAACGCCGCGUGAAGGAAGAAGGCUUUCGGGUUGUAAACUUCUUUUGUCAGGGACGAAGCAAGUGACGGUACCUGACGAAUAAGCCACGGCUAACUACGUGCCAGCAGCCGCGGUAAUACGUAGGAUGCGAGCGUUAUCCGGAUUUAUUGGGUUUAAAGGGUGCGUAGGCGGACAGUCAAGUCAGCGGUAAAAAUGCGGUGCUCAACGCCGUACAGCCGUUGAAACUGGCAGUCUUGAGUGGGCGAGAAG